rnacentral:rRNA from 1 species
AUUGAACGCUGGCGGCAUGCUUUACACAUGCAAGUCGAACGGGGUUGGGAGCUUGCUUCCAAUCUAGUGGCGAACGGGUGAGUAAUACAUCGGAACGUACCGUGUAGUGGGGGAUAACGUAGCGAAAGUUACGCUAAUACCGCAUACGAUCCACGGAUGAAAGCAGGGGACCUUCGGGCCUUGUGCUAUACGAGCGGCCGAUGUCUGAUUAGCUAGUUGGUGAGGUAAAGGCUCACCAAGGCGACGAUCAGUAGCGGGUCUGAGAGGAUGAUCCGCCACACUGGGACUGAGACACGGCCCAGACUCCUACGGGAGGCAGCAGUGGGGAAUUUUGGACAAUGGGCGCAAGCCUGAUCCAGCCAUGCCGCGUGUCUGAAGAAGGCCUUCGGGUUGUAAAGGAC